UGAGUACGAGAUGCUACGGCAUCGAAGCAGUCUAUGUCAUACUUCCAAGAAAAGCUUGCACUGUCAUAAACAAAGAAUGCCUGUACCAUAACCGACACAGGUGGGUAGGUAGAGUAUACUAAGGGGCGCGAGAUAACUCUCUCUAAGGAACUCGGCAAAAUGACUCCGUAACUUCGGGAGAAGGAGUGCCUUAUUUAUAAGGUUGCAAUAACAAGAUCCAAGCAACUGUUUAUCAAAAACACAGGUCUCCGCUAAGUCGUAAGACGAUGUAUGGGGGCUGACGCCUGCCCAGUGCCAGAAGGUUAAAGAAGUUGGUUAGUGUAUGCGAAGCUGAUGACUGAAGCCCUGGUGAACGGCGGCCGUAACAAUAACGGUCCUAAGGUAGCGAAAUUCCUUGUCGGGUAAGUUCCGACCCGCACGAAAGGCGUAAUGAUUUGGAUACUGUCUCGGAGAGAGGCUCGGUGAAAUAGACUUGUCUGUGAAGAUGCGGACUACCUGCACCAGGACAGAAAGACCCUAUGAAGCUUUACUGUAACUUGAAAUUGGAAUUGGACUUUGCUUGCGCAGUAUAGGUGGGAAGCGUUGAAGAUAUUCUUGCGGGAGUAUUGGAGCUAUCAGUGAGAUACCACUCUUGUAAUGUUAGAUUUCUAACUUUGAACCAUAAUCUGGUCAAAGAACAGUUUCAGGUGGGCAGUUUGACUGGGGCGGUCGCCUCCCAAAUGGUAACGGAGGCGUACAAAGGUUUCCUCUGAACGGAUAGAAAUCGUAUCUAGAGUGUAAAGGCAUAAGGAAGCUUGACUGUGAGACCUACAAGUCGAGCAGGGACGAAAGUCGGUCUUAGUGAUCUGACGGUACUGAGUGGAAAGGCCGUCACUCAACGGAUAAAAGUUACUCUAGGAUAACAGGCUGAUCUCCCCCAAGAGUUCACAUCGACGGGGAGGUUUGGCACCUCGAUGUCGGCUCAUCGCAUCCUGGGGCGGUAGUACGUCCCAAGGGUUGGGCUGUUCGCCCAUGAAAGCGGUACGCGAGCUGGGUUCAGAACGUCGUGAGACAGUUCGGUCCAUAUCCGGUGUAGGCGUUAGAAUAUUGAGAGGAGCCUUCUUUAGUACGAGAGGACCGAGAAGGACACACCGCUGGUGUACCAGUUAUCGUGCCAACGGUAAACGCUGGGUAGCUAUGUGUGGAGUGGAUAACCGCUGAAAGCAUCUAAGUGGGAAGCCCACCUCAAGAUGAG
rnacentral:rRNA from 1 species